ACUCCUACGGGAGGCAGCAGUGGGGAAUUUUGGACAAUGGGCGAAAGCCUGAUCCAGCAAUGCCGCGUGAGUGAAGAAGGCCUUCGGGUUGUAAAGCUCUUUUGUCAGGGAAGAAACGGUGAAAGCUAAUAUCUUUUGCUAAUGACGGUACCUGAAGAAUAAGCACCGGCUAACUACGUGCCAGCAGCCGCGGUAAUACGUAGGGUGCAAGCGUUAAUCGGAAUUACUGGGCGUAAAGCGUGCGCAGGCGGUUUUGUAAGUCUGAUGUGAAAUCCCCGGGCUCAACCUGGGAAUUGCAUUGGAGACUGCAAGGCUAGAAUCUGGCAGAGGUGGGUAGAAUUCCACGUGUAGCAGUGAAAUGCGUAGAUAUGUGGAGGAACACCGAUGGCGAAGGCAGCCCCCUGGGUCAAGAUUGACGCUCAUGCACGAAAGCGUGGGGAGCAAACAGGAUUAGAUACCCGAGUAUUCCCAUG
rnacentral:rRNA from 1 species